rnacentral:sRNA from 1 species
AUUUUUCAUUUUUGUUUUGAUUGACUAUAAAUGGCCAAGGAAAAUGAGGUUAUGUAGAACUCAGGAAGAGGUUUGAUAAAUUUACUUUCUUUUUUGGGCAUGGGGUAUUUUGGGAAUUUAAGGAAGAGAAUCCAUAUGACACUAGUCUUCUGUUAAAA